rnacentral:lncRNA from 1 species
UGGCUCAUUUAAUGUCCAUGUUCAUUUGGUUUUGAUUGUCGCUAGUUUUUUGGCACAAGUUUCACGAACAACUGUUGGAAUCUCACCUCUUUUUAAGCAAGGUUUUCUAGCAGAUUCGUUGCUUAUAAAACAAAGUUUCUUUUUUUUUUAUGCUUAUGAUUCUUGAAGUUGUGUCACAAAUUCUUUGAACUUGUUUUUCUGCUAACCUUCCUGGGAAAUUGUUAGGUGAGCAAUAACGUUUGGAGGUAGCCAUGUGUAUUUUAGGUUUGGAUUUGUAAAAGUCUUAUUUGUACAUCAUUCUCAUAAGUGCCUGAUCGGUCAUUUCUUUGGUUAAGACGUUCUCCAUCAAUUCUUCCUUCUUCUAUUUCUCAAAGUUUCUCGUUUGAUGUUUGAAUAUGUAUAAGAAUAAAGCUUAUUCGCUUCUAUCUGAAAUAUUGAAAUUGACUUGCCCAACGUAUAGCUUUACUUCCAAGAAUGAAUCUUUGGUUGAAUCAAUUAACUUCCGCCU